rnacentral:rRNA from 1 species
CCCUUAGAUGUUCUGGGCCGCACGCGUGCUACACUGAUGCAUUCAACGAGUCUAAAACCUGGUCUGAUAGGGCUGGGUAAUCUUUUGAAAGUGCAUCGUGAUUGGGAUAGAUGAUUGCAAUUCUUCAUCUUCAACGAGGAAUGCCUAGUAAACGCAAGUCAUCAGCUUGCAUUGAUUACGUCCCUGCCCUUUGUACACACCGCCCGUCGCUCCUACCGAUUGAAUGGUCCGGUGAGGUUCUCGGAUUUUUUCUGUUGUUUGGUUCGCUAAACGAUUGAAGAGAGAAGUUACCCAAACCUUACCAUUUAGAGGAAGGAGAAGUCGUAACA